rnacentral:rRNA from 1 species
UACGUAGGGUGCAAGCGUUGUCCGGAAUUAUUGGGCGUAAAGAGCGUGUAGGCGGCCAGAUAGGUCCGUUGUGAAAACUCGAGGCUCAACCUCGAGACGCCGAUGGAAACCAUCUGGCUAGAGUCCGGAAGAGGAGAGUGGAAUUCCUGGUGUAGCGGUGAAAUGCGCAGAUAUCAGGAAGAACACCCGUGGCUAAGGCGGCUCUCUAGUACGGUACUGACGCUGAGACGCGAAAGCGUGGGGAGCAAACAGG